AGAGUUUGAUCCUGGCUCAGAUUGAACGCUGGCGGCAUGCUUUACACAUGCAAGUCGAACGGCAGCACGGGGGCAACCCUGGUGGCGAGUGGCGAACGGGUGAGUAAUAUAUCGGAACAUGUCCGGAAGUGGGGGAUAACGUAGCGAAAGUUACGCUAAUACCGCAUAUGCCCUGAGGGGGAAAGGGGGGGAUCGCAAGACCUCUCGCUUUCGGAGUGGCCGAUAUCGGAUUAGCUAGAUGGUGGGGUAAAGGCCCACCAAGGCGACGAUCUGUAGCGGGUCUGAGAGGAUGAUCCGCCACACUGGGACUGAGACACGGCCCAGACUCCUACGGGAGGCAGCAGUGGGGAAUUUUGGACAAUGGGCGCAAGCCUGAUCCAGCCAUGCCGCGUGCAGGAAGAAGGCCUUCGGGUUGUAAACUGCUUUCGGACGGAAAGAAAUCGCCGCUUCUAAUACGAGCGGU
rnacentral:rRNA from 1 species